AUUGAACGCUGGCGGCAUGCUUUACACAUGCAAGUCGAACGGUAACAGGCCUUCGGGUGCUGACGAGUGGCGAACGGGUGAGUAAUGCAUCGGAACGUGCCCAAUCGUGGGGGAUAACGUAGCGAAAGUUACGCUAAUACCGCAUAAGCCCUGAGGGGGGAAAGUGGGGGACCGCAAGGCCUCACGCGAAUGGAGCGGCCGAUGUCAGAUUAGCUAGUUGGUGGGGUAAAGGCCCACCAAGGCGACGAUCUGUAGCGGGUCUGAGAGGAUGAUCCGCCACACUGGGACUGAGACACGGCCCAGACUCCUACGGGAGGCAGCAGUGGGGAAUUUUGGACAAUGGGCGCAAGCCUGAUCCAGCCAUGCCGCGUGCGGGACGAAGGCCU
rnacentral:rRNA from 1 species